UACAGAGGGGGCAAGCGUUGUUCGGAAUUACUGGGCGUAAAGGGCGCUUAGGCGGCCUUCUAAGUCGAACGUGAAAUCCCCGGGCUCAACCCGGGAACUGCGUCCGAUACUGGAAGGCUUGAAUCCGGGAGAGGGAUGCGGAAUUCCAGGUGUAGCGGUGAAAUGCGUAGAUAUCUGGAGGAACACCGGUGGCGAAGGCGGCAUCCUGGACCGGCAUUGACGCUGAGGCGCGAAAGCCAGGGGAGCAAACGGG
rnacentral:rRNA from 1 species